rnacentral:rRNA from 1 species
GACGAACGCUGGCGGCGUGCUUAACACAUGCAAGUCGAACGGUGAAGCGCCUUCCUUUUUGGUGGGUGUGGAGGAGUGGCGAACGGGUGAGUAACACGAGAGUAACCUGCCCCCUCCUGCUGGAUAACCGCAUGAAAGUGUGGCUAACACGGGAUAUUCUGGGCCGGACGCUUGAUGGGUGUGGGAAGGUUUUGGUUUCGGUGGGGGAUGGGCGCGCGGCCUAUCAGCUUGUUGGUGGGGUGAUGGCUUACCAAGGCGGUGACGGGUAGCCGGCCUGAGAGGGUGGACGGUCACACUGGGACUGAGACACGGCCCAGACUCAUACGGGAGGCAGCAGUGGGGAAUACUGCACAAUGGGCGCGAGCCUGAUGCAGCGACGCCGCGUGAGGGAUGGAGGCCUUCGGGUUGUGACCCUCUUUCGCCAGUGAAGCAGGCCUGCCUCGUUUGUGGGUGGGUUGACGGUAGCUGGAUAAGAAGCGCCGGCUAACUACGUG